AUUGAACGCUGGCGGCAGGCCUAACACAUGCAAGUCGAGCGAGCGGCGGACGGGUGAGUAAUGUAUGGGGACUGCCCGCUCGAGGGGGAUAACUACUGGAAACGGUGGCUAAUACCGCAUACUAUCGGAUAACCCAUAUGGGAUUAGCUAUUAGGUGGUGUAAAGGCUCACCUAGGCGACGAUCUCUAGCUGGUCUGAGAGGAUGCUCAGCCGCACGGGGACGGAGACACGGCCCAGACGACUACGGAGGCAGCAGUGGGGAAUAGUGCACAAUGGGGGGAAGCCUGAUGCAGCCAUGCCGCGUGUAUGAAGGAGGCCUUAGGGUUGUAAAGUACGUUCAGGGGGGAGGCGUUACCCGCAGAAGAAGCACCGGCUAACUACGUGCCAGCAGCCGCGGUAAUAC
rnacentral:rRNA from 1 species